GGCGAACGCUGGCGGCGUGCCUAACACAUGCAAGUCGAACGGGGCUAGGAAAGCUUGCUUUCUGAUGCCUAGUGGCGGACGGGUGAGUAACGCGUGAGUAACCUGCCUUUCAGAGGGGAAUAACGUUCUGAAAAGAACGCUAAUACCGCAUAACGUACAGCUUUCGCAUGGAAGCAGUACCAAAGGAGCAAUCCGCUGAGAGAUGGACUCGCGUCCGAUUAGCUAGUUGGUGGGGUAAAGGCCUACCAAGGCGACGAUCGGUAGCCGGACUGAGAGGUUGAACGGCCACAUUGGGACUGAGACACGGCCCAG
rnacentral:rRNA from 1 species